rnacentral:rRNA from 1 species
AUGGGCACGCCAUGCACUGACGAUGAUAGAAAUCCUUUUGCGGCUGCCACUCGUGUUACCAUUGGUGAUGGUUAUCGGGCCACUUUCUGGGAAUCACCUUGGGUGGACGGUAUUCGCCCCAAGGAUAUUGCUCCAAAGAUCUUUGAUCUCUCCAGGAAGAAAAGAAGCUCCGUUCGCUCGAGUCUCACAGACAACGCUUGGGUCCGCAACAUUGAUACCUCUCAGGGCCUCACUUUUGAGCAUAUUGAGCAAUUCGUCACCCUUUGGGAGAAGCUCUCCAAUGUCAUUCUAACCCCUGGAGUUGACGAUGCAAUUAUUUGGAAGUUCACUAAAGAUGGGGUAUACUCCGCGUCUUCUGCAUACAAUGCUCAGUUUGAGGGUCACACCGCCUCUGCCAUGAUCACUACUGUUUGGAAAGCUUGGUGCAAAUUUUCCGCUUGGUUGAUUAUUCAUAAUAGAGUGUGGACCGCCAAUAGAUUGCAGCAUCGGGAUGGCCGAAUUGCAACCUUUGCCCUCUUUGCAAGCAGGUUCAGGAGACCGCGGCUCACCUCCUCUUCCAGUGUCGGUUCACAGUGA